GUUUUUAUGGUGUAACUAACAUAUUGAAUUUUCCUUUCAAAGAUUUUUUAAAAAUUAGUCCUAUUUACUUAGGGUUUUGAAAACC
rnacentral:tRNA from 1 species